GACAGAGGCCUCGAGCGUUAGGCGGAAUCACUGGGCUUAAAGCGUGUGUAGGCGGGCCCGUAAGUGUCUUGUGAAAUCCCACGGCUCAACCGUGGAACUGCUGGGCAUACUGGCGGGUCUGGGCCAACUAGGGGCAGCCGGAACAAGCGGUGGAGCGGUGAAAUGCGUAGAUAUCAGGAGGAACAGCCUGUGGUGUAGACGGCUCUCUGGACCGCAACUGACGCUGAGACACGAAAGCGUGGGGAGCAAACAGG
rnacentral:rRNA from 1 species